AAACUCAGCAAGCUGUAGCGGCACCGUUGUGAGCAACGGCGGCUUCUGAGGCCAGCGUGGAAGCAAAAUUUCUUCCAGCUGCGAAGAAAGAGGGAGGAGAACCGGGUAAAUUACCGUUUGCCUGCACAAGUCAUUGAGGAACUGCCACGCCUCUACCUCGAAGCCUGGAGCAGAUCCAGGAUGGACAAAAAGAGGGAUGAAGACUAGGAUAAUCAAAAAAUUAAAAAAGAAGAAAAUAAAAAGAAGAAAUAAAAGAUGGAGGUUGAAGCAUUUUUAAGUACAUAGAAGAGAAUAGAAGAUCAGGAAGAACCACAGACAAGAAGGGAAGCUUUGAAAGAAACCAUAUGUUAAAUUUAUCACAUAUUUUUUUUAAAAAAGUUGUACCUAAUAAAGAGUUCACAAUUUCA